UGCCCUCAACUAGCACAGCAAACACACACACAUACACACACUCAGAAAAGAAAUACUGCUGUCAAGCACACGGUCAGCUGUCAGUAGCGUAUCGGCCAUAUGGGCACACAGUACCCCCCCUCUGUGUGGAUUGGGCCUAUCCUCGAGCACCAGUCUGAUCCAGUGCUGACAAAAAAUCUGUUUGUGACGGAGGUGUAUUUGUAUAAAUGAUGUGGAAUUCCUUAAAAUAUCAAAUAUCUGCUCAAUUCAAACUCAGAUAAUUAUCUUUUAUGAGGGAUUUUGUUUUUUCUGUUUGAGCCAUAGCUUUGACUUUGACUCGGCCUCACUGAACUUAUUUGGCUAUUUCACUGCAGGAAGAGUCGCUAGUUCAACAUGUUCCACCUCCAAGAUGAUCACGUAGUCGUGUUUAAAAUAAGAUUAAAUGAAUUUAAUUAUUGUAUUUUGUAUAGCCGGGAGGGCUUUACAGUCUGCAUGUCAGCCCUGUGAGGCGGGGACUUAAAAUCCCAAACAAAUUUAUAUAAAAUAGGAAUUAAAACCAGCAAUACCACCUAAUUGAGGAGUCUAGGUCUCCAUAAAAACAAGGUUCUUUUAUACCAGUGGAAAAACCGCAUGGAUCACAAGACAUAAAAGCAAGGUUAAAAAGAUGAUUUUAUUAUCAACUAAAAACCCAUAAUACUAUAAAAUAACUGCAACUAUAUUAAAAGUCCAGCUGGAAAAGUAUUAAAACGAAAUUUAAAAAGUUCAAGAUCUCUAGUUGUUGUUUUUCGAGCGUACCUUUUCACUGUUGGAUGUGAUAUAGACAUAGCAUUGUAGUGUAUAAGUGUGUUUAGUGUUUGUGUGGACUUGUUUGGGGGCUAGAAUUCCUGAAGUGUGCGUUUUUUGCAGCCGAUCUGCUCGCGCUGGUCAGCAUGCUAAACGCCACCAUGGACCCGACCCGUCUGACAAGGAAACACGGCGUCGGGAUCGCACCGGGUUUUUCGUGCUCGGUAGAGGACUGCGGCUUGGCCGUGGGGAGAGUGGUCGGGCACGGCAGCGUGAAGUCCGCCGCCCGUUUGAAUAACACGGUGGUGAUUUUUCUGGAGGCGAAGUCAAGCCAAUUGGUGGGGAGGGGACCGGGGAAGUCCAGCAGGGGAGUCAGGGGCGUGGGGUUGGAGUUAAGAAGGAAAGCCAGGGGUAUGAAGGGAGACAAGAGAGAACAGUUGGAAUACAGCAGCUAAUCCAGGUGAGUGAGGGGGGGGCAGGAAGAGACAGGAGUGGCCCAGCAGGUAAGUCAGGUGAGUGAGGGGGAGUGAGUCAGUGUGUGGAAAAAAGUGUUUCUACAAAAAGCGAAAAACAUGAAGGGAGUUAAGGUUGAGGAUUACUUCUCCGAUAAAGAGAAGCUCGCUAAAUUUGCCCGGAUGCAUAUGAGCAGUAAGGACAGAGGAGGCCUAACAAACCAGGAAGUAUACCGGCUGAGGAAAAUAGUACAGAAAAUCAAUAAUUUAUCUUGAUCUGUUUUUGCAUGGAGCUUCCAAAAGUUCCAGAGGACAUAAAUGCCGGUUUGGAGGGUCCUCUGUUGGCAACCGAACUCUUCGCAGCUCUACAGAGAAUGGAGCGGGGUGAGGCCCCGGGAAUCAACGGGAUUCCAGUAGAGUUUUAACUGUUUUUCAUGAGAGUUUUAAACCGCUCAGUUGCAGGAGGGCAGUGCUGACCUUGCUGCAGAAAAAAGGAGACCUGCAAGAAUUAAAGAACUGGAGUCCGGUGUCCCUUCUCUGUGCGGACUACAUGAUCCUGCCCAAGGCAUUGGCCAACAGGCUACGGGAGGUAAUGGACCUGUUCAUCCACCAAGACCAAACUUACUGUAUGGCUGGCAGGAACAUACUGGAAAAUGUGUCCUUAAUUCGGGAUAUUUUGGACAUCUGAUUCAUUGGGCAUUAAGACUGGUCUCAUUUCAUUAGACCAGGAAAAGGCAUUUGACAGGGUUAAGCACCCUUACCCCUGGAAGAGUUUUGGCCUCAGCCCAGGUCUUGUAGCAAUGAUUAAGGUUUUGUACCAGGACAUGAGAGUGUGCUAAAAAUAAAUGGGAGUCUUAGUGGCCCUUUAAAGUGUGCAGAUCUAUCUCAGGGAUGCUCUAUGCCCUGGCUAUUGAGCCAAUGUUAUGCAAAAUAAGAGAAAACAUGGAAGGUAUGGUUUUAAAGGGUUUUCACAAAAGCUUUACUUAGUCAGCGUAUGCCAACGAUAUCGUCGUAUUUAUUAAAAACCAGGAGGAGGUUGGUAGACUGGGUAUGAUCGUGAAAGACUUUGGCAGCUGCAAGAGUUAACUGGUGAGGCACUGGCUGUAGGGAACUGGAAGGAGGAUCUACCCAGUCUACCGGGGGGUUUAACCUGGAAGAAAGAUGGGUUCAAUUAGCUGGGUGUCUAUAUGGGUAGUGAAAACAUAGUCCAGAAAAAUUGGGAGGGGACGGAGGAGAGAAUAAAAGGAAGACUGGAAAAAUGGAAAUAGCUGAAACCACACAUGUCGUACAGAGGAAGAACUCUUGUGAUUAACAACUUGGUGGCCUCUGCGCUGUGGCAUAGAAUGGCCUGUAUGGAACCACCCAAAGGCCUCAUACAAAGAGUGCAGGCCAUUUUAGUGGAUUUUUAUGGGGACAAAAUGCAGUGGGUCCCUCAAAGUGUCCUGUUUUUAGCAAAAGGGGAGGGGGCCGGGGCUGGUGCAUUCCUAGUAGAGUGGCAACCUUCAGGUUCCAAUUUGUACAAAGAUACCUUACAAGUCCAUCACAAGUGGUUUGGAGAGACUUGACCAGCUUCAUCUUGAAGAAAUGAGCGGGCCAGGGAAUGGACACUGCACCUUUUUUAGCUACUUGUUUGAACGGUAUUGUUUUCCUUCACAGUCCAUCAUAUAAGUACAUAACCUCACCCGUCCUCAAAUAACUAACGUCUCCCAUCGUGGACAUGCUUGCACAUCCAAGCACAUUCUUUGUGUAGUUUUGCAAACGUCAGUUUCCUUUACAACAUUAGAAUAUUAGUAAAGCUGCUGUAUGCAGAGCCGUGAGAAACGUGUGCGUCGCUCUGACACGAACCAAUGAAGCCAAUAAAGACGAGUUCCACAGGAUGCACCUGAAUAAAACACAUAGGUUCAAUACCAUUGUACCAGUUUUUACCAGUGAUAUUAUUAUUGUGAUUAAAUAUGAGCAUGUGUGUGUAUUUCAAGCCUGUGUGUAGUGCAUUCUAACAAUUAGUACGUAUGGAUUAUGAUUAGUGUGUAAUUUAAAUAUUAACUGACAACACUCUAUUGGAACUUUAGAUCUUUUGCUGCAGCAGCGUGUUGCUUUUCUUUCUAAUUACAGGUUCAUACUCGUCGUACGUUUGCAUUAAUAUUUCCAGGUCAAUAGGGGUGAAUAUAUUGUUUGUGGUGGUUGUCAUGGUAACUCGUAGUAUCGUGGCUCCAUUCAUGCUGCCUUCAUACUGUGGUGGUCCACACGCUCAACUCUGAUUGAACCGACUCUAAACAGCUGUUCUGAAACCCAAACCUCAGAGUUUUCCACCUCAGGGUAAAUCAACUCAGAGUUUAGGGUUUGACUCGGAGUUUGUUAAACCUUCUACUUGAAACGGACCCCAGUUCUUCAACAACAUGCUAAGCAAAUUUCACAUUAGAGGCCCUGCUCCAUCUUCCUCCUGUUUAACUCCCUACUCCACUAUCCUCCAGGGGCCUCACCUGUCAGCAUUAGAUUCAAUAGAAACCUAUAGUCCCUGGACAUUGUCCAUGCAUAGUGGGCCUGCUAAAUGCAAUCUGGCACUGUGGUAUAUGCCACCCCCACCUCCUCUCUUCCUCCUGCUUACGCUUUCAUGCCUCCCUGAGGACCAUCAAUAAUACAACAUGGAGCUCCUCAAGCAGCGUAUGCACACAAACACAAAGUUCAGGAAUACACAUCGACAGGCCCAAGCACACGGUCUUGAAAGUACACAAACACAUGGAAGGUUCAAUUCCCCGCUGUGAGCGCCUUCUCCAGUGGAGGGCAGACACAUCUGCAGAUAUCAAUGAGCAAGGCACAGGGUUGAGGAGCAUCCCCCUCAGGCUGUCGGAGGCUUUCACGAAGGGCUCUCCUCGUUGGUGUUGAAGGAUGAAGAGAAGAGCAAGGAGCCUCCCUCGGACACAUGGACAGGAGUGAGGCCGAAGAGGGUCCGGUGACAUGUGCUCAGAGGCUUUGUUCUGGAGCAGAGAUGACGUGAACUCUUCUGAUGUUUCCUAUGAUAAGAUUCGCAAGAUUCUAAACUCACCGAAAAGAAAUUCUGAAAAACAUACAUUUCUUGGAUCUUCAAGUUGAAAAUGUGCAAAAAAAGAUCCCGCGGUUUAUACUACUAUACUUAAUAAUACUAUAAUAAUACUAUACUUAGUUGCUUUGAAUUCAUCACGUGGCCAGACGAUGAUGCAGUGCUGGAUUAUUGUUGUGCAGCUGAAGACUACAUUAUAUUGGGUUUUAUUGUCAAAGAUUACAAAUUUAAAAUGGAUUAAAGUGAAUCCAAGUUCAAAUUCCCAAUUCUGUUCUCGUUGUUGGAACGGAACCCAGCACUGACCUUGUCCUGUAAAUCACUUAAUUGGUGGUUGAGCAGAAAACUCUGGAUGAACAUUAGCCCUUGUUGGGAUGACAGAAGUUAUAGUUUAUAUUCCAUUAUAAGCUACGGAAACAGCAGUCCAAGUCCUAGUACACUGAAAAAAAUGUGGAGUACUAGUGGUUUUUGCACUUAGAAAGUGGAGUAAAUUCUACAAGGACGAUCAUCAAGUGAAUCAUACUUGCAGGAUAUAAGUUACUUUUACUAGCAAACCUUAAGUAAUUUACUGAUUAUUAUUAAUAUGGACAUUGAAUUUUACUCUGUCCUUCUUUGUAAGUUUUACUCAGACUGCUUCAAACGAAAAAAUCAAGGUUAUCUUUUUUAACCUUUAUUUAUAGACUAUAUGUAAGUAACAUUUACACAACAUUUUACAUAAUUUUCUGCAGUUUAGAUUGUCUAAAUUUGUUCUCAAUGUUUUUGUGUAUUGAAACAA
ensembl:lncRNA